rnacentral:tRNA from 3 species
UUCCGUUUCGUCUAGUGGUAGGACAUCGGUUUCUGACACCGAAAACGGGAGUUCAAAUCUCUCAGCGGAAA